GGAGGUAAUUUAGCCAUUUUAAUCAGCUGUGUGGGAUCAAGGACACAUCUAAAACCUGCAGGACACCGGCCCUUGAGGCCUGGAGAUCCCCACCCUUGGUUUAGUGAAAGUGGCCACUCCAUUUGUUGGUUUACUACUGAAGGGACUGCUAAUAUACCUAUGUUAAGGUAUUAUUGCAGUUGUUUGCUCAGAGAAAACAGCAGGACCAAAACUCUUAAGAAGAAAAGGGCUUGAUGUCAAUGGAGUCGUAUGCCAGGAGCUCCUUUGGUGUCACGUUCUCAUCUCCUCCUCGUCCUCUUCUGUUCUCUAAAAUAAAGGAAAAAAAAAAAGAA